UAACUUACAAAUGGGAAAAAGUGCGUCAAAAGCAGAAGACGCACAUGAUAAUAGCAAUAAGAGGUGGUUUAAAAUGUCUACAACAAGAAGAAAAUUGUAACACUGAUUUGAAAAUGUUUUUACAUUAUUGGUUGCACCAAACAGAGCAAAGCUAACGUUAAUGGUGGCAAGAAAGCCAAUGAUUUUUUGUUUUGUUUUGUUUUAUGUGACUUUGGUGCCUGCUGAGCAGUAAUCAGAGAAUUAGAUGCCCAGAACAGUAAGGUUGUAAGAAGAAAGAGACAUCUAAAAGCAGAGUUUGAAACAGGAGAGAUAUUUCAAAAUACAGAUUAUGUUUCAAAAACAUGCCCUACAAACUUAUUAGGAAGAGAUGUGAUGUGGGUUGGGCAUUAUAAUUGUUCCAACAAUACAUGGGUUUUAGAAUAAAUUAAACAAUGAUGUCCCAAAAUAUUAUUAUGUAUAGAAUAUACACUGUUAAGCCCAAAAAAAAAAAAAAAAAGAUUUUAAGAGAAAUGUAAGCCUGUCACACUAACUACAUUAACCUAGACUGAUACAUUGGACUAAGACGGAUGGGUGGGGGCUGAGUGCUGGCUCAAAAGACUGUAUUCUCACAAGCCAUGAGCUCAAACUUAGCUACAGUUCGAGGGACAGUCAAUUGUUGUUGAACAUCUAGUGCUGUUCCUCCAGAUAAGAAGACCUGUAAACAACAUACCCUGGCGUUGUUAGGAUUUUUAGCAGAAACAAGGCCACAACAUUAGCAGCUGUGGUCCACUAAAGUAAAGCUAUCUUAAAAAGCACCUCAGCCACAGACAAAGAAAUAAAUUAUGUAUUUUCUGAGAAUGACUAACUUCUGUAGAUAAUGGAUUCCUAACCACGCGUUAGAAACACAAAUGUUGCAGAGUUUACUUUAUUCUCAGCCCAGGUCAGCAGGAGAUAUUAUUAAAAGGCCUGAAGAUGGAAAGCAGGCAUUUGAACAGAUAAAACAACUGUUGGUCAGUUCCGCUGUCCUAGCACAUCCAUGACAUGACAAAGCCAUUCGUACAAACUGUAGACUGUAAAAAAGGUUAUAUAACAUCUGUGUUAAUGCAUAAGUGGGGACUUAAAGUUGAUAUCAGUGGCAUACUAGUCAACCCGGCUAGAUCCAGUAGCCCAAGCAAUGUCUGAAUGUUUACAAGCAGUAGUGGCUGCAGCCUUGGCGGUGCAGGCCUCUGCUCCUAUUGUACUAAACAGACACUUACACUGAAAGUUCCACAUGCGUACUUUUUUUUUUUUUGCUCACUCAGCCUCAUAUCAAUAUUGAGCGCUGCGUGACAUUUAACCCAGUUACACUUUUACUUACGGCAGAGGACAGAUAAAAACUAUGGCAGCCAGAGCUGACCUACAAGAUAUGCCUUUUCCAAAAGCUGAUUUAACUAUUGUUUGUUGAUGGUUCAAGCAAAUAAACCUUGAACGCAUAGCCACUACUUCCACACUAUUCUGCACAAGCAGCGGAACUAAUUGAACUGAUUGCACACACAUGCAAAAGACCCGGUUUCAUUGGGAAACCACAAAGCAGACAAGGCCACUAACCAGGCCAAACUACAACAACCAUCUGACACAUACACAAUUGAAGAAUUAGAUCUCACAAUAUUAAAAGAUAUGCUGCAAUAUUGAGCCAUGGUGAAAACAUGCCUCAAUAAGUGGGGAUAGUAAGCAUAUAUUUGUACUUUAUAUUUCAUGAGAAAGAUGUUUAAUCAUUCAUUAUUGAUUUUAUUGGGUUAAAUCCCAACGAAAGAAAGAAAUAUUGUCUAGCCAUAGACAAUCACUGUUCAUACAACCCCCAGUCAGCCGGACUGGUAGAAAAUAAUGAACCGACCUAUUGAAAGCAAUUUGAGAAUCCAAGAGUGAAAUUAGUGAAAUUAAGCAUGCAUGUUGUUAUCACUGUUUGAAAUGAUGUAUGGAAGAAUCUACACUGCCUAAACUCUCAAACUAUUUGCUGAAACAGACAAAGAGAUUUAAUAUACAUUUGCAGAAUAUAUGGCAAAGAUGAUGUCGAAACUAAAUGCUCUCAGACUUCUCUCCCCUACACAGGAACACUGUGAGGCUGAAUUCAAGGUUGGACCAGGAGAUUGGGUCCUAAUCAACAGCCUCAAAAGAAAACACUGCCAUUCACCCAAGUGGGACAGACCAUAACAAGUGCUACUGUCAACACCUACCAGAGUCAAAAUAGCUGAUAGAGCCACGUGGAUACUUCUGGCUCAAUGCAAACGGGUCCAAGACUCACCAGUACCUGAGGAACGUUCCAAUGCAUUCCGUACGAGGGAGGAGAGAAGCAGGGGAUGACAGCGGGAUCUGGUCCGAUGGCCUGGGCAUUCCCUGAGGCAUUCCAGACCACUACAAAAACUUGAAGAUGCCGACGAGGACUACGCGUUCACGGUGAGAGACGGAGGAACCAGAACCCAGCGGCAGCCGGCGUGCAGCAUCCAAGAGAGGGGUCUGAUGGUGGACACGGGAGCUACCUCUCAUGUCAUCACUGACAUAACCGUCUUCAAGAGUUUCGACAGCGCGUUCAGGCCAGAAACGCACAUUGUCGAGCUGGCAGACGGCACCCGGUGCAGCGGGAUUGCUCAGCGGAGGGGGAAUGCUGAGGUUUCCCUCAUCGACAGCAACGGACAGCGACGAAAGGCGACACUGAGAGACGCUUUGUUCGUACCGUCAUAUCCCCAGAGCAUCUUCUCGGUGAAGGCAGCUGAUGGAGAUAAUUUCUAAACACUGUUAAUGACUUAAGAAUAUAAUAAUCAAGUGCCUUGUAUUAUUAAUUACCUUAUAUGAAUCAUGUACUUAUGUAAGCAGGAACAUGGCUUUUCUGUGUUUCUGCGUGUGUGUAACUUAGAAUAUUAGGUGCCACUUAGUCUGCAUAUGUACAAGAGCAUGUUUAGACCAGAAGUGAUAAGAAGGGUCGAACUGUGCUUCUUCCGACCUUGCAAAACUUCCAUCCUUGCCUCGGACGUGAGAAAUCCACCACGUGAUUUCCCUGCUGAACGCUCAACUUCUGUCUAUAUAAACCUUGUGCGAUGUGUUUAUCAUUGCUUCACUUUCAGCCUUGUGCUGGGAGUGAGCCCGAUUGCAAUUGUUGUUUGUCUAAUAAAUAUACUUAUAUGCAGCUCCGGAGUCCUGAGGUAACUAGGGUGAAUUUUCACCUAUCAGCAGCUACUACGAGUGGAGCUACGGUUGUCUUCAAAGAAGAUAAAGAUGUCCUGAUAACCAGAGGCGGUACCAGAUUUAACAUUCAUGUGUAUGGAAAGCUGUAUUAUUUGCAUACUGAAUCUGAAUCUAAUGAUAAGUGUAAUGCCUGUCACGACAUACAGACAUGGCAUGAAAUAUUAGGCCAUUGUAACUAUGACGAUGUUCUUAAGUUGCAAAAUGUUGUUGUAGGUAUGCAGAUCAAAGGCAAAACGGGUAGGCCCGAACAAGAGUGUGAGGUGUGUAUUCAGGGAAAGUUUGCCCAAACCAGAAAUAGGGACCCUGAUACCAGAGCAAAGGCUCCCUUACAGAUGGUACACACAGAUCUUGCAGGUCCUGUAGCCACUGAGUCGAGAGAUGGUUACAAAUAUGUGCAAUCAUUUACUGAUGAUUACUCAAGCGCAGUGUUUGUUUAUUUUCUAAAGAAGAAAAGUGACACAAUACAGGCUACGGAAAAGUUCCUAGCAGAUAUAUCCCCUUAUGGGAAGGUGAGGUGCAUCAGAUCCGACAACGGAACAGAGUUUACAUGCAGUGAUUUCCAAGCAGUGUUGAGGAAAAAUAAGAUCAGACAUGAAACGUCAGCUCCUUAUUCCCCACACCAGAACGGAACAGCAGAGAGGGGUUGGCGUACUCUUUUUGAGAUGGGUAGGUGCAUGAUAGUUGAAAGUGCAUUACCAAAGCAGCUAUGGACCUACGCUGUACAAACAGCAGCAAUGGUACGGAACAGAUGUUUUAACAGACGUGUUGUUUUCCAGGACUCUUGGAGAUUACCUUCUUUCCUCCUGAAAGAGUAGUAAAUGGCUCCUGUGUUUGUUGUUUUCCAGGACUCUUGGAGAUUACCUUAUUUCCUCCUGAAAGAGUAGUAAAGGGCUCCUGUGUUUGUAACUUUCACUAUUUUUACUAUUUCAGAAGGCUUUUAUUACUUUUACUCCUUUUAUUCCUUUUAUACCUUAUAUCAUGUAUUGCUCUUGCUGCCUGCUUUUAUUGAUGUUUUGUAAAGCACUUUGAACUGCAACUCUUGUACGAAAUGUGCUAUAUAAAUAAAGUCUUACUUAC
ensembl:lncRNA